GUUCUACGGUCUAACUCCACAUUUCAGUGCAACAAAUUUUUUGCGCUUUGCACAUGCUUUCAGGAACUCAUUUCACAUGUAUAUUAUGUACUGAGAAGCAAAUCAUGUAAUUUGCUUUACAGGAUCUUUAAACACUGUUGAACAAUGAUUUCAGAAUGAUACAAACCCACGUUUUACUUAUGGUAGUUUGUGAAAUCAAAUUUUUUGGCUGAUGCUACAUAAAAUAUGCCUCCAUUACCCCAAUAGAAUGAUCAUAGCUACAUAAAUCAUGUACAAUUGCAAAAACAAACCUAAAUCCAUGCCUCUUUCCUCCAUUUUCCCCAAUACAAAAACCAUGUUAAAAAGUCAUUAUUGGUUAAUUGUAGGCUAUUUAUUAACAAUUCUUAAUAACAAUGUUAAAAAAAAGUCUACGUAGAUUAGUUUAGUUUAGUGGGCCUAUGGUUUUUCUAAUCAAUGAAUUAAAGGUCUCUAAAAAACGACCUCAACCUAUGUAUUGUUCUGUCAAUCAUGGCGUGUCAUUUUGAUGAGGUGGUGGAUGCGGGAGCUGUCAUAGUACGCACCUUAAAGAGAAAGUUAUUUCGGGGAGAAGGCAUGUGCCAUGGUGGAUCGAUAUGAUUUUCUACCUCUCGGGUUGCUUAAGAAUAUGGUGCACCCACAAUAAUCUUGACUACCUGAAUCUGACUCAAAUUAGUCGGAUUGCGUGAACUAGAAUUGGCCUUUAUGGAACCGCUUUAGCCCCGACUGACUUGUUAGGUUAAUUCAAAUCAGGAUUGGGAAUCUAAUCCCAUCUUGUUUGAGCGGCCUAUAUGGAACAGGCCCCUGGAAGAUAGUGGAGCUGAAGAAACACCAUAUUGUAAACAGUUUGAUCAUAAAUACACAAUAAUUAGUUAAUUUUUAUCCAGGUAUUUUACACGAUAACAGUGCUCAUUACUACGUUUGCAUGUUUUGAUUAAUAGCAAAAUAUAUUUUUAAUUAGUUAAUGCUUGACACAAGUCAGUUUUUAAAAAUUCUCAAUGGAUCAGAGAUCUUUCAAGAUCUCUCUUUGCUAUACAUUGGGUUGCUUUGAUUGUGUAUACUUAUUUUUUGCUUUUGUAUCAUUUGAUGCAUGUAAAAGUGUUGGUAUAAAAAUAUGUAAGAUAAUUUGAUUUGUCUUUCA